GCGUGUGGCGCGGGCUUCCUCCGGGGAGGUCCCGGUCCUUGCAGCCCGCGGCCGCGUCCUUGGCCCUCCUCCAGGGGAACCUCGAUUUUCCAAACUCGGGAAGGCCGGCUGUCCUUCGGCUACUGAUAAGGACGCGAGCGCACGGUAAAAGAUUUUAACAAUGCCCGGAAAGAAAUAGCCGGACCCAAGAAAGAGACUAAUAAUAGCCGCCAGCUAGAACUCUGCUCGUGUGCUCAGCGCCCUUAAGAACAAUAACGACAACAGCCAUAAUAGCCACCAUUUAUUGAGCGCUUACUCUGUGCCAGGCACUGUGUUAAGCGCUUGGCAGGCAACAACCCUCGGAGCCCUGAGAGGUGUGGACCAGUAUUGCCAUUUGAUGGAUGAGGUCACAAGGCUGGUUCUCACUCUGAUGCCCA